rnacentral:snRNA from 1 species
AUCUCUUCUCAGUCUUUUGGCUAAGAUCAAGUGUGGAAUCUUUCUUUCCUCAUUAGGCAGGAUGAGUAGGAAUUAUGCACUCUCUUUAGAAAAUGUAUUUCUUGUGGUCAAUGGAAAAAAAUCUUAUUCUAUAAUGGUCAAUGGAAAAAAAUCUUAUUCUAUAAUGGUUGUACUGUA